rnacentral:rRNA from 1 species
AGUGAACGCAGGCGGUAGGCCUAACACAUGCAAGUCGAACGGCAGCACAGUAAGAGCUUGCUCUUACGGGUGGCGAGUGGCGGACGGGUGAGGAAUACAUCGGAAUCUACUUUUUCGUGGGGGAUAACGUAGGGAAACUUACGCUAAUACCGCAUACGACCUACGGGUGAAAGCAGGGGAUCUUCGGACCUUGCGCGAUUGAAUGAGCCGAUGUCGGAUUAGCUAGUUGGCGGGGUAAAGGCCCACCAAGGCGACGAUCCGUAGCUGGUCUGAGAGGAUGAUCAGCCACACUGGAACUGAGACACGGUCCAGACUCCUACGGGAGGCAGCAGUGGGGAAUAUUGGACAAUGGGCGCAAGCCUGAUCCAGCCAUACCGCGUGGGUGAAGAAGGCCUUCGGGUUGUAAAGCCCUUUUGUUGGGAAAGAAAAGCAGCAGGUUAAUACCCCGCUGUUCUGACGGUACCCAAAGAAUAAGCACCGGCUAACUUCGUG